rnacentral:rRNA from 1 species
UACGUAGGGGGCGAGCGUUGUCCGGAUUUAUUGGGCGUAAAGAGCGUGUAGGCGGCCAGGUAGGUCUGCUGUGAAAACUCGAGGCUCAACCUCGAGACGUCGGCGGAAACCAUCUGGCUAGAGUCCGGAAGAGGAGAGUGGAAUUCCUGGUGUAGCGGUGAAAUGCGCAGAUAUCAGGAGGAACACCGGUGGCGAAGGCGGGACUCUGGGCCGAUACUGACGCUGAGGAGCGAAAGCGUGGGGAGCAAACAGG